AGGAUGCCAACACGAAAUUCUUGGCUUUGGAAUGGGGUGGGUGGGGGGUUGGGUUUGGUUGGAGCUGGUCGCCUUAUGGCUUUGAACUCCUUCCAAGUGCUGGGAUCAUAGGCGUGCACCGCCACACCAGGCUACUACAGUACUAAACAUUUUUAGGCUAAUUCAUCGGCACAAGAUAGACUCACCGUCUAUGUUGCACUAAUUUGAAACUGUCUUUCAGCAACACUCCAAGGGCUUACCUGUUAAUCACAGUAGAUACCCGCCCUAACAACCUUCAGAUCAAGAAAAUAGAAAGUUCAGACAAGAAAAUGGAGGUGUUGGUUUUUCAGGGUUCUCUUCGGGAGUUUGAAAGAUACUGGAGAAAAAACUACGGCGAAUAUUUUUCUCAAACAAACGACGGGAAGCCACUGUCAUUUUGAUUUAUUAUCAUCAUCAUUAUUAUUAUUAUUGUUAUAUUAUUAUUAUUAUUACCAGUGUAUUCAUUGGCUGGUGUGCGCCCAUGAGGGCAAAGCAAAGCCAGGUGCGUAUCCUCAGACUUGGAAGACCCGAGGGAAACAAAGCUUCAGCUCCACACAUCAUGACAGAAGAAUUGAAGAUGCUGAAGAGAUGUGUAGCUGCAAGAGUUCAGGGCUAGAUUCUCCUCCUGGUGGAGCUUCAUCCUUGCCGCUUUGAUGGCAGCUGCCUAGAGAGACGGCCUGUCAGCUGACCAGUGAAGAUUCUGAGCGGCAGGUUAGCUAAAUGAUCUUGAUGGUUUCCCAGCCUCCGACACCACAACCGAGGGCUUGAGGAAACGCUGCAUAAAGGACGGGUUUCGUAGGCUGGAUACGUGCCAUCCGUUAUUGGAACUGUCGCAGCUGUGGCAUCUCCUUUGUCAUCAUUGUACAGAGAGAAAAAACAUGCUUUGGAGAAUGGGAGGUGAGUUGGCCAAGGUAAUAUGGUUCCUAAGAUACCAGCUGAAGAGUGAACACUGGUUAUCCAUCUAUCUCUCUCUCAAAAAAAAAAAAUCCUAUUAGACUGAUGAGAUGGCCUCGACAAAUGCAUCCUGGCACGCGACAUAUGCAUACAAACAAAAUAAAUUUAAAUUUAAGAAUGACUGAGCAUCUUGAUGAUAAAUCUCCUCAAGGAGUUGGAGUCCAGGUGCAUGCUUCUUACUCCAGCCCUUGGGAGCCUGGUGUCAGCAUCUGUUUAGGCCACCUUGGCCUGUGUAGCAAGAUCUGUCUAAAAGCCAAACAGAAAACCCACACAAGAAACAGCCUUAGGUGUGGUGUUGCAUUCCUGUAAUCCGAGUGUUUAGGGGACCUAUCUGGACCCAGUGCUAUAGGAGAUGCAAAAGAUACUAAAGCCACACAGCCCAUGUUUAAUAUACUAUAUUAAAUAUUACAACAACCAUUGUGAUUGCAAGCUAUUCAGCAAAAACUUACAGGGCUUUACUUUAAGUUAAAUUUUAUUUGAAAGUUUGUCAGAACGAGGAAGCAAAUGUUAGCACUCUUGUGUUUGAAGGCAGUUUGGCUGUUUAAGACUGUGUUCAGAUGUCUGAUUUUCAGAUCAGGUAGUACUGGUUUCAAACAUGAACUGGGAAGCCUUUCCUGAGGUAUUUGUGAAAAUUUGCCACUAACCCCUCUCUAAAUGUCUGGUAGAAUUCAGUGGUGAAACCAUCUGGACCUACUGUUUUCUUUGCAGGAAGGUUCCUUUUUCUUAAUCACUAAUUCAGUCUACAGUAGUGGCGCAUGCAGUUUGCAAGAGACUGCCAAACUGUUUCUCAGAGCGAAUAACCCACUUUGCCUUGCUGCACCAUAUGUGAUUUGUCUAUCAGCGUUUCAGAAUGUCGCUAUUUUUUUUUAUUUUAGCCAUUCUGAUGUAUAGAAAUAUCCCACUAUAAUUUAAAAACAUUUAUUAUUAUUAUUAUUAUUGCAUGUUUGUAUGUGUGUGUAUACAUGCAAUUGGGUAACACCUGUGUGGAGGUCAGAGACAACUCAGGGAUGGGUUCUCUCCUUCCACCGUGUGGGGCCUGUGGAUUAAACUUAAGUCAUCAGGGUUGGUGGUAACAAGUCCCUUCACCAGCUCAGCCAUCUUCCCCUUCCCUCGCUGUAGCUUUAAUUUACUUUUCCCCAACUACUGAUAAGGGCUGAACUCUUUUCAAUAUCUGCUUGUGCGUGCAUAUUCUUUUUAGUGGGAUGUCUUUUUCUCAGAUUCUGAUUGGGUUUGAUUUGUAUUCUUGAUAUAUUCCAGAUACACUUCUCUUCUGUAAUAUGUGGUUUACAAAUAUUUUCUCCUGAUCUGUAACUUGUUUUUCUGACUUCACAACAUUUUCUACAGAGUAGCAUCUCAGCUUUGAUGAAGUACAAUUGAUAUGUUUUUUUUUUCCUUUAAUGAAUUAACUUUGGAAGUCUUUGUCUCUCCCACCUUAGAUCUAAAACAUUUCUCUCAUUUUAUUCAUAAAUGUUUAACAUGUUGUGUUUACAUCCAGGCUACAGUUUGAGUUAGGUUUCGCUAAGGUUGGUUUACAGGGCUUGGAGCCAAUCUCCGCUGGGAGAGGAGGAGAUGGCUUAGAGGCUAACGGUGCCUUAAAGCCUGGCAUCCUGAUCCACACCCCCAAUCCGUAGAAGAAGGAAAGAGCUGAUCUGAAAGCUGCCCUCUGACCUCCAUGCGUCUGCAUGCACACACACUAAAAUAGAAAAGAAGAAAAAGCAAAUUACUCUCCCACAGCGCUGGAGGAUAGGAACGCUAAGAACCUGGUAUUGGCCGAUGCAGUGCCUGGUGAGAGGCAGUUCACAGAUGGGUAAGUGCGGAUUCUCAGGUGUCCUCACAGAGCAGACGGCCUCUGUGCUAAGGACUGAAGUCAGGAAGGAAAUGGACCAUCCAGGCAAGCACUCCACCACUGAGCUACAUCCCAAUCAAGCAUGAGCCUUCACAAAGUUAUCUUGAUUCCUGUAUUUAUUUUUGUGUAUGUAUCUACCUGCGUGCCAUGGCAUAGCUGUGGAGAUCAGAGGACGCUUGUGGAAGUCAGUUCUCUCCUUCCAUCAUGAGAGCUCCAGGGAUGAAGUUCAUCAGACUUGUUAGCAAGCACCUGUAACCUUUACCUACUGAGCUAUUCUGCCAAUUGAGACAUUUUUAUGUGGGAGCCCACAGAAGUGGGUCCGGUCCACCUUGACCAAAGGUCAGAGAGUUUAGGCCCUAUUCUUGCUAAAGUUUGACCAAGGGAGUGGCUGUCUACAGGAUGCUUGGUCUAAGGUGUGGUCGCUGCACGUCCUGCCUGAACAACAGAAUGUUUAACUCGAGAUUUAGUUGCUUGAUGCUUCAGGUAUUGAACAAGUAAUUGCUCUGUUUGUGCUUUGUGUCAGUUCAAGCAGUCUUUUGUCUUCUCUCCCCCGCCCUUUGGAUUGGUGUAUAUAAGUCCUAUGGAAAAUAAACGCAAGUGAAUUCAGUGUUCACUGGA